CCGCCGGCGACCGGCGCACGGGUGAGUAACACGUAUGCAACCUGGCCGCCACAGGGGAUAACCCGCGGAAACGCGGCCUAAUACCCCGUGACGCCACCGGAGGGCAUCCUCCGGUGGCCAAAGGAGCGAUCCGGUGGCGGAUGGGCAUGCGGCGCAUUAGCUAGACGGCGGGGUGACGGCCCACCGUGGCGACGAUGCGUAGGGGUUCUGAGAGGAAGGCCCCCCACACUGGGACUGAGACACGGCCCAGACUCCUACGGGAGGCAGCAG
rnacentral:rRNA from 1 species